rnacentral:lncRNA from 1 species
AGAUGUCCCUGCAGGAGAUGCAUCUGUCCGCUCCCCACUCAUUUCAUCUCAUCUGAACAGAUCUCAUCUCAUCAGAACAGAACUCAUCUCAUCUUAUCCCUCCACACCCACACCCCACUACACCACCUCCACACACCACCACACCCCACUACACCACCUCCACACUACACCACCUCCACACUACACCACCACCACACACACCACUACACCGCCUCCACACACCACUACACCACCUGCACACGCCUCCACACACCACUACACCACCUCCACACACCACUACACACCUCCACACACCACUACACCACCUCCACACACCACUACACCAUCUCCACACACCUCCACACACCACUACACCACCUGCACACGCCUCCACACACCACUACACCACCUCCACACACCACUACACACCUCCACACACCACUACACCACCUCCACACACCACUACACCAUCUCCACACGCCUCCACACACCACUACACCACCUCCACACACCACUACACCACCUCCACACCCCACCACACACCUCCACACGCCUCCACACCCCACUACAACACCUCCACACCCCACUACACCACCUCCACACACCACUACACACCUCCACACCCCCACUACACCACCUCCACACGCCUCCACACACCACCACACACCUCCACACACCUCCACACACCACUACACCCCCUCCACACCCCACUACACACCUCCACACACCACUACACCACCUCCACACCCCACUACAACACCUCCACACGCCUCUACACCACCUCCACACGCCUCUACACCACCUCCACACCACCUCCACACACCACUACACACCUCCACACACCACUACACCACCUCCACACCCCACCACACACCUCCACACACCACUACACCACCUCCACACCCCACUACAACACCUCCACACGCCUCCACACACCACUACACCACCUCCACACCCCACUACACCACCUCCACACACCACUACACCACCUCCACACACCACUACACCACCUCCACACCCCUCCACACGCCUCCACACCCCACUACAACACCUCCACACGCCUCCACACCCCACUACACCACCUCCACACACCACUACACACCUCCACACACCACUACACCACCUCCACACACCACUACACCGCCUCCACACACCACUACACCCCCUCCACACCCCACUACACACCUCCACACACCACUACACCACCUCCACACCCCACUACAACACCUCCACACGCCUCCACACACCACUACACCGCCUCCACACACCACUACACCACCUCCACACACCACUACACACCUCCACACACCACUACACCACCUCCACACCCCACCACACACCUCCACACACCACUACACCACCUCCACACCCCACUACACCACCUCCACACCCCACUACACCACCUCCACACACCACUACACACCUCCACACACCACUACACCACCUCCACACACCACUACACCACCUCCACACACCACUACACACCUCCACACACCACUACACACCUCCACACCCCCCUACACCACCUCCACACCCCACCACACACCUCCACACACCACUACACCACCUCCACACCCCACCACACACCACCACAAAACAUACAUGAUGUACUUUUGA